CCGGCCGUACGAGGGAUGAAUGCCUUACGGGUUGUAAACCUCUUUCGAGCGGGGACGAUUGUGACGGUACCUGCAGAAGAAGCUCCGGCCAACUACGUGC
rnacentral:rRNA from 1 species